UACGUAGGGUGCGAGCGUUGUCCGGAAUUAUUGGGCGUAAAGGGCUCGUAGGCGGUUUGUCGCGUCGGGAGUGAAAACGCCGUGCUUAACACGGCGCUUGCUUUCGAUACGGGCAGACUAGAGGUAUGCAGGGGAGAACGGAAUUCCGGGUGUAGCGGUGGAAUGCGUAGAGAUCCGGAAGAACACCGGUGGCGAAGGCGGUCGACUGGGCCAGUACUGACGCUGAGGCGCGACAGCGUGGGGAGCAAACAGG
rnacentral:rRNA from 1 species